AGUCAAUAGAUACCCGGGUAGUCCACGCCGUAAACGAUGAGUACUAGGUGUAGGAGGUAUCGACUCCUUCUGUGCCGCAGUUAAACACAAUAAGUACUCCGCCUGGGAAGUACGGUCGCAAGAUUAAAACUCAAAGGAAUUGACGGGGGCCCGCACAAGCAGCGGAGCAUGUGGUUUAAUUCGAAGCAACGCGAAGAACCUUACCUAGACUUGACAUCUCCUGAAUAGCGCAGAGAUGCGUGAAGCCCUUCGGGGCAGGAAGACAGGUGGUGCAUGGUUGUCGUCAGCUCGUGUCGUGAGAUGUUGUGUUAAGUCCCGCAACGAGCGCAACCCCUAUUAUUAGUUGCUACCAUUAAGUUGAGCACUCUAAUGAGACUGCCCGGGGUUAACCGGGAGGAAGGCGGGGAUGACGUCAAAUCAUCAUGCCCCUUAUGUCUAGGGCUACACACGUGCUACAAUGGUGAGAACAACGAGAUGCAAUACCGCGAGGUGGAGCAAAACUUGAAAACUCAUCUCAGUUCGGAUUGUA
rnacentral:rRNA from 1 species